GACGAACGCUGGCGGCGUGCUUAACACAUGCAAGUCGAGGGGAGUGAGCAAUCACUCACCGGCGAACGGGUGCGUAACACGUGAGCAACCUAUCGAGCUCGGGGGGAUAGCCGGCCCAACGGCCGGGUAAGACCGCAUACGCUCACUCUGGGGAGUCCUGGGGUGAGGAAAUCCUUCGGGAGAGUUCGCGGGGCUCGCGGCCUAUCAGCUAGUUGGCGGGGUAACGGCCCACCAAGGCGGUGACGGGUAGCUGGUCUGAGAGGAUGGCCAGCCACAUUGGGACUGAGAGACGGCCCAGACUCCUACGGGUGGCUG
rnacentral:rRNA from 1 species